AUGAGAUCCAAGAACCCUCUCUUGGGGUCUGAAUCAGGACCGCUUUCCUGUAACAUAUUUCUGGUGACCACAGAAGGGACUGUAGUGCAGAAACCCUGACCCAACGGCUAUCUUUGGGUCAAUAAGUCACCAGUAUGCCUUAAGAGCAAUGAAGAAAUACCAAGGAGAUGGAAGACACAUUCUUCACCAUCACAGGAUUUAUAAUCCAGCUGAGGAAACAAACACAUACAAAUGAAAUAAUAAUACCCCACCAGAUUUGCAGAAUUCUACAAGCAAAAUAUAUUAGUAUCCCUUUUCCCAUUUAUUCCUUAUAAUCACCUUGUGAUAUAAGUAAUUUAGCUAUACACUCCUUUCCUUGUUUUACAUCAUGGAAACUGAG
rnacentral:lncRNA from 1 species